ACUAUGCAUGUAUGAUUUCCAACAUACAAUUGUUUAUGAAAAUUAGUUUUGUUUAAGGAAUUAUGGAAAAUGAAGCUAUUAGAACUAAUUAUGUAUUUCUACUUGUUCUACUCACUUUAAACUAUUCAUUAGUGAGAAAUCUCUAUAAAGAAAACAGAGUAAAGGUAAGUGCUUUGAAAUUAUAUCAUAAACAGAAAAUUUUGCCACAAGAAAAAUCUGCCAAAACUUAACACUUUAAAAGGUAUUGGAAUAAUUUAUUUAUAUCUUUCAAUUAUUAUUUAAAUGUAAAAACUUAUUUAUGUAAUUGUUUAAGUUAUAGGUUUUUCACUUUAAAUGCUUUUUUUAAUAUUAUUAUAGAAAUACGUUGAAGGUUUCUUCUAUGAAUGUUUUCUUAUUGAAAUUAAAAGUAAAGAAACUAAACUCCAUUUCCUCAUACAUUGCAGAAAAAAGAUGCAUUGGGAGCAGAAACAUAUUGGGCAAGUGGCCUUCAUUUAUAUACACCUCUUCCCUUUUGACCUGGAAGAGACGGAAUUGGAAAUUAUUUUCGAAUGCAUACAUUUUUAAAUGCUGGUAAUAUAGGCUACUUUUUA